UAGCACUACUUUCUUUCUUUGAGAUCUAGAUCUGAAGAUGUCUGCAAGUUUCGAUGAAGCCACACACAUGUUCGGCCUUUAUAGAUAUCCACACGAGGUUGAUGUAGAUUAGAAGCAUCCGAGAUCACCGAGAUACUAGCUCUCUUUCAGAUCUUGCUCUUUUGACUUAGAUCUGAUCUCCUUCUUUGACUCUUCGCAAGAUCAAAGGAAGAAGAUCCAACGAGGAAAGUUGUGCGUGAAUGCCUUUCAUGUAGAAUAGGAGGAAGGGAGGAAGAACUCCAAGAUGAGAAAACACCUUCUCUCUUUCUCACUUUUCUCUCUCUCUCUGUUGGCGCACCAGGGGGUGGGCGUCAGAAGGGUAAGGUGCAGAAAUAGAUGAGGUGCUCUAGAAAAUUGAUUCUAUGUCGAAAAAAUUCUACGUAAAAAAAUAUCUUAUUCCUUCUCUCUUUCACGCUUGCUAAAUAGAGGUGCCCAAUAACCUUUAACCACUCUAGAUAUGAUUAUCCUUAUCUUUGAAUCAAAUUCAAAUCUAGAUAAGGAUAAAGCCUUAUCUGAAGGAGAAAGA
rnacentral:lncRNA from 1 species